rnacentral:lncRNA from 1 species
GACCUCAGCCAGAUCAUGGGUGGAUUAUGGAACCCGCGGAGCUCCAGUCUGCAUGAAAUGGAGCCAGCACAGGGCUAUGUCAGCCUGGACAAGAGGCAGGAGAAAGAAGCCACGCAGGGUCCCGAGCAGGGUCGGCCCUCAGCUGGCCUCGAAAGCUCCAGUGCAGUGAUCGCCAUCACAGCUGAGGGUUAAGAUGGGCUCCCAGGAUCUACAAAGAAAACCCCACACCUCUUUUCUGAAGCUGCCUCCUGAAUGAUGUCCUCCUACAGAUGUGGCAUCUGAGGUCUGCCAGGGAAGGGGCUCCGUGCCAUCACCCCACAAGGAGCCUUGGUGGCCUGUCUUGCUCACCCACUCUCGGGAAACCACAUUCUAGGGACUUCCUGCCUAGCAGCUAGCCCCAGGCCAACCUGAUGAUGCCCCAGGCCGGCCUUGUACCCAGGCUUCUCGCUGGCAGCAAUCUGCCGUCGGUCCCGGGCCUUGCCCGAGAACCCUCCACAGGGCAGCAGGGUCCUUGGCAAGAGACAGCGACAGCCCUGCCCCGCUGUGCCCACACUGUGGGGACCUGAGGAUGGGGAGGCUCGGGGAAGGCACCCUUGGAGGAAGUGGCCCCUGAGGACUGGGCCCAGCUGCACCCUGGACCUGCUUCCGGGGAAGCCCAACUUGGACAGCACGUGCCAGGAGCAGUGUGACCAACUGGCCACAAAAACAGGACUUGGGAGUGCAUCCCCACCCCAGCUGGUGAGGAGAACCCAGGGCAGGGGCCAAGCAGGGGACAGGGAGCCCCUCUGAAGAGGAGCAGCAGUGUCAGAGAAAGUGGGGAGGAGGGGCUGAAGGAGGAGGAACCCCAUGACCAACCCAGGUACAAGGCAGCAACGGCCGGGAGUGCCAAGACCUGACAUGGGAGACCGUGUAGCAGUCAGCUUUCUGUCACUGGGACGCAACACUGACGCCCACAACUUCAAGGAGAAGUUUGUUUCGGCUCACGGUGUCAGGGGGGCUCAGCCCACAGACCAAAGGCUGCAAGGCGCAUGGUGGAAGGACCUGGUGCAAGGAGCUGGUGGAGGAAAGCUGCUCACCUGUGGCAUCCAGGAAGCAGAAAAAGGGGAGGGGCUGAAUUCACCUUUCCAGGCCUUUCCCCAGUACCCGCCUCCAGCCAGGGCCAGCCACUAACAGCACAGCUACUAAGUCCUCCACGCAUGAAUCCACUCACGCGUGUGGCACCCCCAGGACCCAGUUACCUUCCACGUGCAUGAGACGUUGGGGGACACUGCAGGUCGAAACCACAACAUCUGAGUUGAAUCUGAAGUCCUCCCACUCCACUGAACUCUAGAUCCUGCCAGCUUGGCCCGCUUGUCCCCGUGAAGGGCAGGUGCCCCAGCAGUCAGGUGUGCAGGGGGCUCCUCGCUCCAGGACGGCAGCUCCCCUCAGGGUGUGCCCCACCCGCUCCAGGCCACUAGGUGGAUGCCCCCGUUAGAUCACAGCGUAACUCACAGGCACCGUGAUGGAUCAGGCGCACUCCGUGGCCCAGGCCCAGAUCCCGCAGGCCCAGGGACAUGACGUCGGGGAUGUGAAGUGAAGCCCUUGGCGAGAGCUUUCCCGCCGUGCAGGAUGCUACACCCUGCAGCCAGCUCGGUCCCGGGCCACAGGACUGCACGGCCAGGAGCCUAGGACACCCAGCUGCUGCCACCGGGGAGGGUCCUGCAGUUCGCUCAGCCCCACCGCCCAGCACAGGUGAGACACCCAGGGCUGCGGCCAGAGCCAGGUGAGCGGGGGACGAGAGGGGCCCCUGCCUCCAUCCGGGUUCACAGCGUGCUCGGCCCAGGUGGCUGCAGCCACAGUGAGAAGCCAGGAUGGAGGGGGACAGCCCGCCCAGUCACAGCUGGGGAAUGGAGGGGCUGGGACACAAGCCAGGACCUGGACGGCCAGUGACAGCACUGCCUCUGGGGCUGCCUGCGUGACCAGGCCAGAGCUCGCUUCCUCCAGGGCCCAGCCUGCUGCCUGGCUGGUCCUUCCCAGCCCCCCGGACACCAGGAUCCCUUCUAAUCCCCGUCCCCUCGGUGUGACAUAGGGGACAGACCCCAUGUCUGCACUGCAGCUUUGUGGAUCCUGCAUUUCUAUCCUCUACCUCAGUAUCCCCAUGUCUGCCCCAGUGCAGAAGCACCAGGGACUUUAUGUAAACCAUCCGCCUUUGGUUUGAGAGCUGAGGACAGAACCCAGGGCCUGGUGGGUGCCAGGCAAGCGUUCUGCCACCCAGCAGCACCUCUGGCCCCUAAAUCCUCUUUUUAUUCUCACUCUCAGGACAUGGUCGUUGUGCCCAUUUUACAGAUGACAGCCGCAGGGCAGGACCUGCCCAAGACCUCCUGCCAAGGCGGGUGGGGCUUGAACCAGCUGUCUGCCCACCUGUGCUUCCUCCUCCUUUCUAGCCCUCGCUGGCGAGGCUGGGGGUCCCAGCUGUCCCUGCCUGGGCCGCCAGCAGCCGUGCUGUCCUGAAAUGGCCCGGACCAAAGGGCCUAGCUGCAGUUACUCAACAACAAUAAGGAUGAGUUGUUUGCGGUGGCUGUCAGCCAAGGCUGCAGCCGCCUGCCCACCUCGGAGGCGUCUGGGAGGGGCGUGGCCUCUCCGGGCUCCUGCACUGCAGACCCCAGCCGACCGCCCCUGCUCCAGACCUCGCCCUGCCUGCCGCCUGCUGCCCCUCCACACCCAACCCAGAGCUCACGGUGCCUGGAUCCCUUUACCCGCGCCCCUGCGCUGAGGACCUGGCUUCCCGUCCCACCCGAGAGAUGGCUGGGCAGCAGCCCUCCCUGCAUGUCCGAGUCCCCGCAGUGCCUUCAGAGAGCCUCCUCCCUGUUCCCAUCUGUGAGGCGGGGGCAGCUGGCUGCCCGGCACGUGACCCUGUGCGGCUGAAUACGGCUGGUGGUGGAUGCAAACCGCAGGCUCACGCUUCAGAAGGCCUCCGCUAACGGGGUUUUCCCCGCAUCCGCGGCUAUUUCCUCCCCACCAGGGUGGGCAGCAACCCCUCUUGCUGGAGCUCUGUCUGCGCCAAUCAGCCUGCUCCCUCCCUCCCGCUCCCUGAGUUGCGCCCCCCAUGUCUGAACCUCAGUCCACAUCCACUCCCCAGUCUGCAAGUAGGAGGCCCCUGGGGCAAGGUGGGACUUCAACACAAAGGGGUUGGGUUUUCGUCUGGGGCUGGGGCCGCUGCCGUUGGCACUGGUUCCUCAGCCCUAAGCCAGCCCCCGGGCCCCAGACUUCUCUUGGCUCUGUCCUCAUGGUUGCAAGAGUGCUACCGCGGCUCCAAACAUCCAGCCGACGUUCAAAGGCAGGAGGCAGGAAGAGGCCAGGGAGGGCCUCCCUCACACAGCUUCUCUUAUCAGGGGGGACAGAGUCUCCGUCCACACGUCUCACUGGCCAGAGCUGGUCCUGUGGCCCGUGAGCUGCGGAGUCCGGGAAAGAAGCCCCUCGAAGGGGGAAUGCUACCGCUCUGCCCAGCCACCAAUGGCAGAGACCUGGCUGGCCCCUCCUCCCAUCCCAAGGACUACGACGCCCCCCCGCUGCGGGAGGUCACCCCGUGCCACCUGCCCCGUGCACACCCCUGCUCUAUGCUGGUCUUGAUCCUCCUCCUUCCCGGGCCCAGCCCUCCUGCCCCAGGUGAUAAUUUUAAGUCCAAACUCUCCUCGGGCUCUCAAGGAAGCGCUGGCUCCAGCAGGGGCUGCACACGCCUGCGUCCUGCCCGGAGGCCCUGCCAGGCUGCUGGAGGCCUGAUGCCACGUGGGGCCCAGCUCCGAGCACACGCUCCCCUCCCUGUGCCCAGCAGGGACGGCUCUGUGUGGUGCCCUCCGGGAGCAAAGGGCCAAGUGAAGGUGCUGGUCACCCCGCCGGGCUGUGCCCUGUGUCCUCUGAGCACCCUCCAUGUCUCUUCCUCCCUCCCUCAGUCUCCCUGAGAUCCCGGGGCCGGAAGAUCCCAAGGAGGAGGCUGAGAGAGGGCAGAAAGCGUCUGACGAGGCCCAGGGUGCCCCAGUGAAGACGCGCUGGGCUUCAGGUGAAGGUCAGCAGCAGUGAGUUCCAGGCGCCCCUGCCCUCCAGAGCCCCCCAGGCCCAUGCCCGACCCCUGGGCUCCCAGGACUGGCGGGGAAGGAGGCCAAGGGCUCAAGAAGCUAUAAGCUUCUCAGGGCAUCACUGCUGGCCACUGCCAGGUGCGGGGUGGCCUGGGCCUCGGGCUGCACAGUGGGCAGUGGAGGCCAGAGCCGGGGCUGGGAAGGCCCCAGGUGGCAGAGCUGGAUGGUGACCAGCAGCCCAGCACCCGGGCCCAGGACAGGACACUGUGUCUUGAUUAUUUCCAGUCUCCUGACCCCCAAGUAGCGAGGUAAUGUUCCUGUUUACUCCGAGGGCUAGAACAGGAGGCGGGGCGGCUAAGCUGGCCUCCUGGCAUUGCCCCCCAAACUUCAGGUAAGACAGCAGCCACAGGGAGCUAAGAGUCACAGGGGGUGGGAGCCAGGGCUCUGGGGGCUCCAGGGCUUUCGGGACCAGCCCAGGAUGCAGGGAUGUGGCUGGGAGACCCGCCACCGCGGCCAUGAGGCUGAGGACCGAGGGCCACAGCAUCCGGUUCGCCUUGCCUGGCUAAGUGUGGCUUCAUCUUGCCCUCUGGGUGGCGAAGGGACGUUAGCCCGGCCGGGCCCUCAGACGUGGGGGGCAGCUCUGCAUCGGGGCCAGCAGCCUGUGGCUGACCGGGAGGGGCUCCAGGAGUUGCAAGCCCAGCUCCGACUUCUGUGGUCUGGACUCCUGAGAUGCUCACGGAUCUGCCCAAGGGACCUGCCUGGCACCCAGGGCCGGCGUCCCGGGGCCGGGUGAGGGCAGCAGCUCUGUCAGGCAGGACCAGCAAAGGUUUGCUGUGCUUUUUUCAAUGCUAGCAAGGCAAAAGCUGUACUGCCACGCACCCCACCCGCAGUGUUGUUUCCUUUUUGUUUUUAAUAAGCAACACGAGUUGGCACCAACUCGCUGCUGGCACCAACGUGAGAUGCCAGUGUGACUUUCACACGCAAGGGUCUCUUCCCUUAUGGAGAAGCACCCCUCCCCUCCCCCACUCACUCCACACAGACACACAUGGAGGGAGGGCGUGGCACAAGGACCGCGGGUGUGCAGGCAGGGGUGGAGGCUCAGGGACACGACACCCCAGUCUCCACGUGUCUGUGCCGUCACCAGGCCCCUGAGGAAGGAGCCCAGAGCCCUCCCUGCAUCUCCCGAGUGUCACAGAGCCCAGGACAGGAUGUCACUGAGACCUGGGAGGGCAGAGACCCCUGUCUCUCCCUGGCACUUGUGUGACCUCCACCUCAGUUUCCCUAUCUCUGAUACCAAAGGGAGUCCGCAAGUACUGUCACCUCCUAUAAGGCCAGGGUAGGGGACAGAGAGCUCAUAUCUGGGGAAACCCUGAUGGGCCCGAAUCUCCCACGUGAGACAGAAGCCAGGGUGGACACCCUGCCUAGCCCGUCUACUUCCCCCCUCUUCCACCAAUAGCUGUGUGGCUUCCGGCAGGUUUCUUGACCUCUCUGGACCCAAGCGUCAGCACUGAGCAGGCUUCUAUCCGGGGACUGACGGGGCUCGGGGUGGUCGGGGACACCUGCACUCCACCCCGAAGCCCGGCCUACGAGGCCACCUCAGGCCACUCCGGGUGGGAAGACGGGGACAGUCGCAGCGCGAGUCCCUCCCCCCACAGUGGCUGUAGAGGGAAAAACAUCAGCCAAAUCACAGCUGAAACUACGUGCAGCGCCUGGAGAGGCUGGGACUGGGGCCGGAAGGGUUGAGAUACUGUGGCCCCAGGGAGAGGCCCCGGGUGCCCAGCUGUGCACAACCUGGGCUCGGGCAUCACCCGGGGCCAGCGUGGUCCCCAGCCCCUCACCCCGCAACCAGGGAGGGCGACGGCACAGGCAGGGCUGUGGGACUUCAGAAGGAGCGGAGGGACACCCAGCGGGGAGUCUCGGGAAGCUGAAAGCCAGGAGGGGGGGGCCCAGGUGGGAGCCGCUGAAGGGGGGCACUGCUUCCGGAAGAAGGCCCUAGGCCCACAUCCCCACGCCCCUCGGUCCAGGCACAUGCCCACAGCGCACACCGCCUCAGCCCGGCCCUCGGCCAUGCCCUGAACCAUGCAGGACACCCAGGCCAGGCGGCCAGCCAGGCCACGCCCCAAGAGAUCAUUUCCCGAAAUCCUCAGGGUCCUGUCAGCGGCAGCUCAGCCCCAGGCUCGCCGAGUCCUAUUGCCCCCUCACACUGCACCCCAGCUGGUCUUGCCCAAGGUGUGGGGUUAAAGGAGGUCAUAGCAAUAGGGAAGCCCCUGCCUACUGCAGGGGCCGGGAGACCCUGGUGGAGAAGGCAGUGAGGGCCCCAGGAGGAAGCCAGUGGACAGUUCUGACACAUAGCUGCACCACGGCUGGAGAUGAGCUGGUGCCAUCAUCCCCACUCCACCUGCCCCCAGCCCAUGUGUCCAGUGACCACGGCCCUCCAACAAUAAAAUGCUGGAGGGGAAUGAGGGAAGCGCCGGCAUGCCCAUGCAGUGCCCCGCGGGGUGCCAGAGCCCCGUCGCGGUCACAGCUGUGUGUGGAAGAGCCCAGC